rnacentral:rRNA from 1 species
CAGUAGCCGCGGGAAAACAGAGGGUGCGAGCGUUAAUCGGAUUUACUGGGCGUAAAGCGUGCGUAGGCGGCUUCUUAAGUCGGAUGUGAAAUCCCUGAGUUUAACUUAGGAAUUGCAUUCGAUACUGGGAAGCUAGAGUAUGGGAGAGGAUGGUAGAAUUCCAGGUGUAGCGGUGAAAUGCGUAGAGAUCUGGAGGAAUACCGAUGGCGAAGGCAGCCAUCUGGCCUAAUACUGACGCUGAGGUACGAAAGCAUGGGGAGCAAACAGGAUUAGAGACCCCAGUAGUCCCUGUCUCUUAUAC